rnacentral:lncRNA from 1 species
GAAGAUCUUAUAUUCUGGAAACUUGGUUAGAAACAAACUCAGGCUUGCCUCAUCCAACUUCUUUUUCUAUGUGGAUCCUACUCUAAGCAAUGCCUCUGGCAAUAUAAUCUAGUAGUUAAAUGGAUUCUAAUAUUAGACUGCCUUGAUUCAUGUUCUGAUUCUACUCUUAAUAGCUUUGAGACCCUAAGCAAGUUAUUUAAUCUGCUCUAUGACUCAAUUUUCUCAACUGUAAAAUAGGGGUAAUUAUUAUACCUACUUCAGAUAGCCUACCUCAGGGGAUUGCUAUGAAAAUUAAAUUAUUGUAUAAAUGUAAAUUGCUUCAAAGAAUUCCUAGUACAAAUACAAAAUGAAAGCUCAGUAAAUGUUAACUCUCACCAUCAUCUGCAAAUAUGCCUCUAUUUGGAUGCUUCUAGGGACAGCAGAGGGUUCACUUGCCCCUCCCCUCCAAAAGCCUAUCAACAUGUAGCCGGGGACAUUCUGGUUAUCAUGAGCUUUGGAAUCAGACAAACCUAAAUAUGAAACCUUAUUUUCUCUGCAUGAUGAUAUCUUAGUGUAGAAUGGCAGUCUUCACUGGGCCAUUGUGAGGGCUAGAUAAGGUGCUAUAUAGAAAUCGUAAAGUACUCUGCAUGUUUCCAGUUCCAUGGGAGGUACUUAUUAACAAUAGUUGCUGCUGUGAUGAUAAUGAUUGAAGAUCAAGAAGAAAAUAAAGAACAGGAGAAAGAAGAAGGUAAAGAAAAAGUAGCUCUAGUAGCCACAUCAGCUGCUGCUGCCAUCUAUUAAAAAGUUCUUUCUGUCUUGCUGAGUUCUGCCUUCCGGCAGUUUUACCUCACACUCCUAGCUCUGCCCACUGGAGCUGCACAGAACACAUGACCCAGUCUCCUUUCUGUCAGACUGCAGAUACUCAUAGAGGGUGGCACAGCCUUCUCCCUGCACCUGUAGCAAUGGCAGUGCUACCUCUUCCCUGUGCCCUCUCUCCAAACAGAGAGCUCCGGAUCUUCAAAU